GCAGACACAUUCCAGCCAAUCAGCAGCAGACCCUCCCUCCCACACCCUCCCACCUCCUGGACAGCUCACUAAGAAUGCAGCUUCACAAUGAAUGUAAAAUGGAUGCUGUCCAGGAGGUGGGAGGGUCUGGGAGGGAGGGUCUGCUGCUGAUUGGCUGGAAUGUGUCUG